UGUGAUAUUUUACCAAAAGGUGCUUUUUAUCUCACUGGGAUUGUCAUGAUUUGCUCUUUUGAUACAAACAUCCCAACACAUCAAAUCCAACACGUCAACAUGUGCUUCUGUUUGAGGAUGGAGUAAAUUAGACACCACCCAAAAUAUGGAGUCACUUUAUCUGCAGCUCAAGUAAAGUAAAUGUACAACAGUUCAGAUCUUUAAAGGGCUGUUUGUUCUUCUUCCAUCACUGACCUGCAGGUUCAAGAAGGAGCAUCGAUAAUGUCAUUUAUGAAGCUGCUCAGGACGAAACAUCUGCACCACAGAACCCAACAAACGACGUCACCUACAGCUCGGUGAAGUUUCACGCUCGAUCUCCUCAGGCAGCCGCGGCGACAGGCAGGAAUCAGUCAGAGAGCCUCUACGCUGAGGUGAAGAAACCCGGCAGGUCCUUCAACGAUUAAAGAGGAAUGUUUCCCCAAAUCCUGGAAUUCUGCUGGUAGUUUGCAGAGUUAUUGAAGCUUUCUGUGUUUUAGUUCAUGUGAUCUGUUUUAAUGCUGAAAGAUUCUCCUCGUCACAAACGUGUCAUUGGAGAGAUUAAAAUGAUCAAAUGUUACUAAACAUCACACAUUUAAAAGUACCUUUUUUUUAGCAUCACAAUUCAAGGUCUUAGUAAUUAGAUAUUUUACAUUUAAGAUCAAUGUAGAAAAAGUAAUAAACAUGUUGUUGUCCUGCAGGAAGCUUCAGCUUUGGUUCCUGGUUUGAUUCUUCAUGUCACUUUU